UACGUAGGGGGCAAGCGUUGUCCGGAUUUAUUGGGCGUAAAGCGCGUGUAGGUGGCCAAGUAGGUCCGCUGUGAAAACUUGAUGCUCAACCUCAAGCUGUCGGUGGAAACCCCUUGGCUAGAGUCCGGAAGAGGAGAGUGGAAUUCCUGGUGUAGCGGUGAAAUGCGCAGAUAUCAGGAAGAACACCAAUGGCGAAGGCAGCUCUCUGGGACGGUACUGACACUGAGACGCGAAAGCGUGGGGAGCGAACAGG
rnacentral:rRNA from 1 species